AAAUAAAUUCCGGCUACUUACGUAAGCGCCGCGGGGCUGAGGGUGGGGUGAAUAUCGAGUGCUUAAAUGGUACGGAUCCAAGUGCAGGGAUGACGCGGAACAACGAUGAUAAAUAAUGGUGAUAUCCGCUAAGCGCGGAACGGUAUCAGAGAAGCGGUGUGGUUUAGCGGAAAGGGCCCGGGCUUGGGAGUCCGGGGUCGUGCGUUCGAAUCCCGGCGCUGUCACUUGUCCGCCGUGUGACCUCGAGCGAGUCGCUUCACUUCUCUGGGCUUCAGGGACCUCAUCUGGAAACGGGGAUGAAGACUGAGAGCCCCCUGGGGGGGCAACCCGAUCACCUUGUAGACCCCAGCGCUUAGAACGGUGCUUGGCACGUAGUAAGCGCUUAACCAAUACCGACAUUAUUAUUAUUCUUACUAAGCGCUGGGGUGGGAACAGGCAGAUCGGGUUGGACCCAGUCCCUGUCCCACGUGGGGCUCACGGUCUCAAUCCCCAUUUUGCAGGUGAGGGAGCUGAGGCCCGGAGAAGUGAUCUGCCCAAGGCCACGCAGCCGGGAGGUGGCACCACCAGGAUUAGAACCCGUAACCUUCCGACUCCCAGGCCUGGGCUCUACCCACUACAGCGUCCUGCUUCCCGUAGACGACGCAGAAGGGAGAGGGAGUCGGGGGGCAAAGAGGGCUUAAUCGGGGAAGGCCUCUUGGAGGAGACGUCGUCGGAGUGUUGGUUGUCAUCCGUUUCGAUGAGCGAACGGUUGGGCUCGUCGGCGCUGGGGUGAUCGGGUCGGACCCACUGGGGACUACAGAUCUCGAAGGUAGGGAAAAUAGACAUUUAUCGCGUGUUCGCUAUGUGCCAAGCGCUGGGGCAGACUGUAAGCCCGGCGAUGGGCAGGGGCGGUCUCUCUCUGUUGCCGAAUUGUCCAUUCCAAGCGCUUAGUCCAGUGCUCUGCCCAUCGGAAGCGCUCCAUAAAUACGAUUGAAUGAGUGAAUACAGGUGAUAAGACUGAGCCCGUCGUUGGGCCGGGAUUAUCUCUGUCUGUUGCCGAAUUGUCCAUUCCAAGCGCUUAGUCCAGUGCUCUGCACAUAGGAAGCGCUCAAUAAAUACGAUCGAAUGAAUGAAUACAGGAUAAUCCGGCUGGAUGCUGUCCCUGUCCGACCUAUUGCUGUUGUUUUGAUUUGUUUUAAUGAGAUGUCCAUCCCCUCGAUUCUAUUUAUUGCUGCUGUUCUUGUCAGUCCGUCUCCCCGAUUAGACCGCGAGCCCGUCAGUGGGCAGGGACCGUCUCUAUCUGUUGCCGAAUUGUCCAUUCCAAACGCUUAGUCCAGUGCUCUGCCCGUAGUAAGCGCUCAGUAAAUACUAUUGAAUGAACGAAUGUCUUGGGGCUCACCGUCUAAGCAGGGAGGGAGUCCCGGCUUCGAAUCCUCAUUUCACAGAUGCAGGAACUGAGGCCCAGAGAAGUGAAUAAUAAUCAAAUAAUAACGACGAUGGUAUUUGUUAAGCGCUUACUAUGUGCCAAGCACUUUUCUAAGGUCUGGGGGGAUAGGAGGUAAUCUGGUUGUCCCACCUGGGGUUCACAGCCUUGAUCCCCAUUUUACAGAUGAGGGAACCGAGGCCCAGAGAAGUGAAGUGACUUGUUCGGGGUCACUCAGCUGAGACUCCCAAGCCCGGGCUCUUUCCACUGAGCUUCGGGCUCACAUUUUUUAAUCCCCGUUAUCGCAGAUGAGGUCACUGAGGCCCAGAGAAGUGAAGUGAGUUGCCCCAGGUCAAAUGGUUGAACUCUGUGCUGCGGCCUUUUAUCCACAGAUGAUGGUGGAGAAUGGGAGACACGGAGGAGGAGCAGCGGAGGGAGGGAGGGAGAGACAAACGGUGACCGUUGCAGUCACGGAAAGAGGGACUGGAAAAUGAAGGAAAACGAAACCAACUGGGGGAGGCGAGGGCGGCUCAUUUUUAGGGGCAAAUUGGCAGAAAUCCCCAAGUCUCUGGCCCUCUACCAAAAAUAAGGACAUUUAAGAGAAGCAGCGUGGCUCAGUGGAAAGAGCCCGGGCCGGGGAGUCAGAGGUCAUGGAUUCGAAUCCCUGCUCUGCCACUUGUCAGCCGGGUGACUGUGGGCAAGUCACUUCACUUCUCUGGGCCUCAGUGACCUCAUCUGGAAAAUGGGGAUGAAGACCGUGAGCCCCACGUGGGACAACCCGAUGACCCCGUAUCUCCCCCAGCGUUUAGAGCAGUGCUCUGCACAUAGUAAGCGCUUAACAAAUACCAUCGUUAUUAUUUAAAGUCAAGGUUAUCGAUUACGCCCCAGGUCCGGUUAAUACCCUUAAUAAUAAUUAUAAUGAGCUCAUCGUGGGCAGGGAAUGUGUGUGUUUACCGUGGUAUUAUUGUUCUUUCCCAAGUGCUUUUGUACGGUGCCCUGCACACGGUAAGCGCUCAGUAAAUACGAGGGAAAGAAUGAAUUCAAGGUUUAAGGUAACUCGUCAGCCAAGACGGGCUCUUCCUGGGGCCCAGAUCUUCUCAUCUGUUAACAAUAAGAAGUUCUUACUGUGCGCUAAGCACCCUACUACUACUACUACUACUGAUAAGAAUGGUGAUAUCUGUUAAGCGUUUACUAUGUGCAAAGCACUGUUCUAAGCGCCGGAGGGGAUACGAGGUGAUCAGGUUGUCCCCCGUGGGGCUCCCGGUCUUCAUCCCCGUUUGACAGAUGAGGUCACUGAGCCCCAGAGAAGUGAAGCGACUCGCCCAAAGUCCCACAGCCCACAAGCGGCGGAGCCGGGAUUCGAACCCGUGACCUCUGACUCCCCAGCCCGGGAGUCAUUAUCCUCUGUCGUCCUCAGCGCGUAGACCGGUGAAGGAACUGAGGCCCAGGGAAGUGAAUAAUAAUAAAACAGUAAUUAAUAAGGAUGGUAUUUGUUCAGCGCUAUGGGUCACUGUGUGUUAGAACACGAGCAAGCGCGUGGCCAGCCCCGUCGUCGUGAUCGAUAUUAUUUAAACCGCAGCAUCGAAUCGCCGGGGCAGAUGGAAAACGAUGACCCGUGGGGGGGGGGGGGGGGGCUCGAUUUGUUCGUUUUUUUCCAUAAACGGAUAAGGAUAAUAAUUGUGCUAUUGAGUGCUUAGUGUGUGCCAGGAACUGUAAUGAUAAUAAUAAUUACGGUACUCGUUAAGCGCUUACUACGUGCAGAGCACCGUUCUAAGCGCUGCGGGAGAUACAGGGUCAUCAGCCUGUCCCACAUGGGGUUGACAUUUUUUAAACCCCAUUUUUACAGAUGAGAUCACUGAGGCCCAGAGAAGCGAAGUGACUCGCCCACCGUCGCACAGCGGCCAAGUGGCAGAGCCGGGAUUCGGACCCAUGACCUAGACCGUGAACCCCCGUGGGACAGCGGCUCAUAAGCGUGUGUCUACCCCGGGGCACAGAACAGUGCUAGUCCCAUAGUAAGCGCUCACCAAAGACCAUCCAAAUUAUCAGAGAAGCAGCGUGGCUCGGUGGAACCAGCCCGGGCUUGGGAGUCGGGGGUCGUGGGUUCUAAUCCCGCCUCCGCCGCCUGUCAGCUGGGUGACUUUGGGCGAGUCACGUCACUCCUCUGGGCCUCGGUUACCUCAUCUGGAAAAUGGGGAUGAAGACUGGGAGCCCCACGUGGGACAACCUGACCCUCUUGUAUCUACCCCAGCGCUUAGGACAGUGCCCGGCACAUAGUCGGCGCUUAACGGAUACCGUCGGCGUUAUUAUUAUUAGCCCUCUCCUUCCCCUCCCCAUCCCCCGCCCGCCCCCGGGUUUUUAUUUUUACGGUGUUGGUUGAGCACUUACUCUGUGCCAGGCUGGGACAGA
rnacentral:lncRNA from 1 species